rnacentral:tRNA from 1 species
AGGGUUGUGGCUCAGUGGAAGAGUGCUUGCCUAGCAUGCGUGAGGCACUGGGUUCAAUCCCCAGCACCACAU